rnacentral:rRNA from 1 species
CCUACGGGUGGCUGCAGUGGGGAAUAUUGGACAAUGGGCGAAAGCCUGAUCCAGCCAUGCCGCGUGUGUGAAGAAGGCCUUCGGGUUGUAAAGCACUUUCAGUGGGGAAGAAAGCCUUGGGGCUAAUACCCUCGAGGAAGGACAUCACCCACAGAAGAAGCACCGGCUAACUCCGUGCCAGCAGCCGCGGUAAUACGGAGGGUGCGAGCGUUAAUCGGAAUUACUGGGCGUAAAGCGCGCGUAGGCGGUCUGAUAAGCCGGUUGUGAAAGCCCCGGACUCAACCUGGGAACGGCAUCCGGAACUGUCAGGCUAGAGUGCAGGAGAGGAAGGUAGAAUUCCCGGUGUAGCGGUGAAAUGCGUAGAGAUCGGGAGGAAUACCAGUGGCGAAGGCGGCCUUCUGGACUGACACUGACGCUGAGGUGCGAAAGCGUGGGUAGCAAACAGGAUUAGAUACCCCGGUAGUC